rnacentral:misc_RNA from 1 species
ACUGUUCAACCCCCCGAUUUUUCUUUUGGGAAAGUUGGGCGUGGCUUGGAUUCUGAACGCUUGCUGGACCGCAUCUUCUUCCCUGUAUGGGGGGGGAGACCCAGGUCGAAGCUCGUUCGUAAUACAUUAGCAUCCUAAUCUUCGAGAUCAGAUCGACUCGGCGUAAUAGACUAUUCGCUGAGGACAUGGCACCCCGUUAAAAAAGGGCGUUAUGGCUGAACUGGAAAAGCUGGAAGCUUCGAACCCCCGACGAUCUAGUCGAAUCCAAG